UAAGGCUCAACGGCUUCUACUACCCUUUCCGCUUCCGCCAAGUCCGCGCUUACGAAUCGAGGCUAUACGGAAUACGCUCGAACCCUAUAAAUAUUUAUUACGUAUUACCGCGUUCACGAUACCAGCUAAUUCGAGUACGAAUAAACGCGGUACCCUCUGGCGAUUCCACGUGCCACCGCAUGGCUUAACAAAGGCUUAACAAACGCCGAUUCCUACUCGACCCUUGCGCGAACCUCUGAAACAACCGAUCCAUUUUCUGCAUUUCCUUAAAAAUAUAAUUUCAAAAAUGUAUUCUUUAUAUCAAUGAUUAUUAUCGGUACGCAAAACACGUUUCUCUCAGAUCUAUGUCUAUGUCAACAGAUCCAUGAUAUCCUCAGAUCUGUUUCAUCGAUUAGCUUGAAAUUUUAUAUACACCUUGGCCCGAAUCAAAAUCAACUGGGUCUUCCUCUCUUCUAAUUUUGUAAGCUGCCGGAAUUUAAAAAAAAAAAACACGAAAAACUCUUUUCGUUUUUUAUCGGACCAUUGCGCACAAUACAUUGUACAUAUCGUGUUCAGUCUAAAAGCGAUUUUCAAAUAUUGUGUCCGUGUCUGACGAGCAGGAGGCUCUGACGGCGAGCCACGAAGAGAGAGAGAGAGGGAGAGAGGGAGAGAGAGAGAGAGAGAGAGAGAGAGAGAGAACAGCGCAAAAGAAAAAUUAUAAUAUCAGCGAUUUCCGAAAUAUUCUAGAGUGCUGCAGCACGGCGGCGCGUAUCGAGUAGUCGCCCCUAAUGCUGACAAUGAGUUUUAACUUCAAGGAGAAAGAGAAGAGGGAGGAGAAGAGAAUUGGAACAGCGCAACGUAGAGCGACAUAUCCCGGUGAGCUAUCGAUACGCGGAGAUCGCGCGGGCAUCGUUCUCACUGUUUAUUCGGGCGAAAAAAGUUAAUCGCCGAAAGUUGCCGCCGGUGGACUUUGCAUCGGUGCAGCGCGGGAGAACAAAUAAAGGAAAUGGCGCGGAACAGAUGACAAAGUAGCGCAAAGAUUCGGGCGAAAGUUCCGUCUUUGCUGACAAGAAACGCGGAAACGGAAGAAGAGGAGGAACUUGCUAUGCUACGUACGAAAUUACGCGCCUUCUAAGAGACCCAAACUCGAGCUCGAGCUCGAGCACAACGCGAAACGGACGAACGGGCACGAUUUAUUACCUGGCACGUGUCGUUUUCUCGCGCGAAAAUUGCCUGGAUCGUGUUUUCCAUGUGAAACGUUUACGUGCCGCGAGUUCCCCUCUAAUAUCCAGCAAGCGUUGCCUCUGUGUAUUACAUUUACCUUGCCACUCGAUGUCGAUAAUUCGAUAAGGCGUUUAUCAAUGAUGCGCCAACCGAUAGUCGACACUCGAAUGUCGUCGCGUCGUCGACGCAACAACUUGAACUUGAAAAACCGAUAUGCAGUGAGAUAGCGAAGAAAAUGAAACUUGGAUGGAAAAUCAUUUUACAUAUUAGAUACUAUACGUAUUUACGUAGUAUUAUGUAUCAAGUAACGAGUACUAUACUGAAAUAAACCAUUCGGAUGUUCACCAUCAAUUUUUCCAUAAACACGGAUUU